UACGAGUGCCCCAAGCGUUAUCCGGAAUCAUUGGGCGUAAAGGGUGUGUAGGUGGCGAUGUUAGUCUUCUGUCAAAUUCUUCGGCUUAACCGGGGGUCUGCAGGGGAAACGGCAUUGCUCGAGGAUGCGAGGGGUGAAUGGAACUCAUGGAGUAGCGGUGAAAUGCGUAGAUAUUGCUCGGAAGGCCGGAGCCGAAGGGGCCCCGCUGGUACGUAACUGACGCUGAGGCACGAAAGCGUGGGGAGCAAACAGG
rnacentral:rRNA from 1 species